AUGAACUAUGAGGCCCAGACGCUGGAGCAUGUGCUGCACAGUUUUGGUGGCGUGAUCGCAGGCUUCCCAACAACUUACCUGGGGCUGCCAAUCUCCCCGAAGAGGUUGCGGAUCGUACACUUCCAAUUCCUCAUCGACCGGAUCAAAUCAUGCCUCGUGGGUUGGAAGGGAAAGCUGAUGUCCUUGGCUGGCCGGCGCGUUCUGGUGCGCGCAGUUCUCUCCACCCUGCCCACAUAUGCACUCUUUGUGCUCAAGGUGCCGAAGAAAGUCCUGAAUGAGAUCGACAAAGCGUGGCGGGGCUUCUUAUGGGCGCAAGACGAAGCGCUGACGAGCGGCAAGUGCAAGGUGGCGUGGAGCUCUGUCUGUUCACCGACCGAAAAGGGCGGACUGGGGCUUCUCGACCUGCAGCGCUUUGGCUCUGCCUUACAGUUGCGCUGGCUCUGGCUGGCCUGGCAGCAGCCGCUGAGGCCCUGGACGGCUUUUCCUCUGCCCUGCGACAAGACGGACCAGGCGCUCUUCCAGCAAGCCACGCUCGUCCUGAUCGGGGGCGGCUAG
rnacentral:rRNA from 1 species